rnacentral:lncRNA from 1 species
GCACCUUGAGAGCCCUGGGCUACUCUGUCACAGCCCCUGUUGCCCUGCGAUCUGUAGGUCCUUGGGGACGCAUAGUUAAGGUGCCAGGACAUCCUGGAAGCUGGGAAAUGAUUUCUUCCAGACCAUGGCUGGAGAAGGAAAGAAGGUGUGUUUUGCCUGAUUCAGGGACUAUAGAGAGAACCAAGUUCUGCAGGCCUGUCAUCUAAGUCUCAGCUGGGUGUCACAAACUCUGAACUGGAUUCCAAGGCUUUCAUGAAUGCACUUAUGUUUGCUGUGGCAGCUGCAUUAUGUCGUGGGGGAUGUGGAUGCAGAACCUCCCAUUCUGUCGUCUUGCUUAUGUUACUCUCCUUUAUGUUUCACUUUCUCAAAUGAAUGUCAAGCAGGUGAUUUUCAGAUUCAAAAGUUCUAAAAUAAAUUGCUCAAAUUUACACAUUAUGUAAGCUGUUAAUAAAAUUUCUUGUAGGUGCUACAUAUUUAUUAAAAUUUUUGGUUGUAAUUUUAAGCUCACUGUAGGCAGAAAGGAAUCAUUAAGAUUUCUAUUCUUUUUUAGUCUGUAUCUAAAUGACCAUAUAUUUUAAUUCCAAAUAUUUACUUUAUACUUCAGUAAUGCUCAUUGUAUUUUGCAAAAUUUAUAUUGUUCUUUUAUUUGAAAAUAUAAGGCUUUUUUUAGCUCCUGAAAUCUAUAUUAUAGUCAUAUAGUUUUAUUAUAGUAUUUGAUAAGAAGAGCAGCAACAUAUUGAGAACAGAAUAAAAUUCUGCUGUCUUUU